GAUGAACGCUGGCGGCGUGCCUAAUACAUGCAAGUCGAGCGAACGGACGAGAAGCUUGCUUUUCUGAUGUUAGCGGCGGACGGGUGAGUAACACGUGGAUAACCUACCUAUAAGACUGGGAUAACUUCGGGAAACCGGAGCUAAUACCGGAUAAUAUUUUGAACCGCAUGGUUCAAGAGUGAAAGACGGUCUUGCUGUCACUUAUAGAUGGAUCCGCGCUGCAUUAGCUAGUUGGUAAGGUAACGGCUUACCAAGGCAACGAUGCAUAGCCGACCUGAGAGGGUGUUCGGCCACACUGGAACUGAGCCACGGUCCAGACUCCUACGGGAGGCAGCAGUAGGGAAUCUUCCGCAAUGGGCGAAAGCCUGAAGGAGCAACGCCGCGUGAGUGAUGAAGGUCUUCGGAUCGUAAAACUCUGUUAUUAGGGAAGAACAUAUGUGUAAGUAACUGUGCACAUCUUGACGGUACCUAAUCAGAAAGCCACGGCUAACUACGUG
rnacentral:rRNA from 1 species